CAGAGUUUAAUUUAACAAGAAUAUUAGCUUUGGGGGCUAAUUGUGGGGGUUUGAUUCCCCUAACUCUGAC
rnacentral:tRNA from 1 species